rnacentral:rRNA from 1 species
UGAGGAAUAUUGGGCAAUGCCCGAAAGGGUGACCCAGCAACGCCGCGUGGAGGAUGAAGGUCGUAAGAUUGUAAACUCCUGUUAGAGGGGAAGAAUAACUAAGUUUGGAGCUUAGUAUGACUGUACCCUCAGAGAAAGCCCCGGCUAACUACGUGCCAGCAGCCGCGGUAAUACGUAGGGGGCAAGCGUUGUCCGGAUUUACUGGGUGUAAAGGGCGCGCAGGCGGAAUGGAAAGUCAGUGGUGAAAUCCUACAGCUUAACUGUAGAACUGCCUUUGAUACUUUCAGUCUUGAGUUCGGGAGAGAGAGACGGAAUUCCAGGUGUAGUGGUGAAAUACGUAGAUAUCUGGAAGAACACCAGUUGCGAAGGCGGUCUCUUGGUCCGAUACUGACGCUGAGGCGCGAAAGCGUGGGGAGCAAACA